AUCUUUUUUUUAAAAAAAAAUUCAUGUUUCGUAAUAGUUUAAAAGAGUGGGGUUUUAAAUAUUUCGUAAUCCUCGCUUUUUAUCGCUCGGAUCGCUUAAAAAAUCAUUAAUGAUCCUUCCGCAGGUUCACCUACGGAAA
rnacentral:misc_RNA from 1 species